CCUACGGGUGGCAGCAGUGAGGAAUAUUGGUCAAUGGGCGCGAGCCUGAACCAGCCAAGUAGCGUGAAGGAUGACUGCCCUACGGGUUGUAAACUUCUUUUAUAAAGGAAUAAAGUGAGGCACGUGUGCCGUUUUGUAUGUACUUUAUGAAUAAGGAUCGGCUAACUCCGUGCCAGCAGCCGCGGUAAUACGGAGGAGCCGAGCGUUAUCCGGAUUUAUUGGGGUGAAAGGGAGCGUAGAGGGGUUGUUAAGUCAGUUGUGCCCGUUUUCGGCUCAACCGUAAAAUUGCAUUUGAUACUGGCAGUCUUUAGUACAGUUGUGGUAGGCGGAAUUCGUGUUGUAGCUG
rnacentral:rRNA from 1 species